UCUUCAGAAUUCCCAUUGCUUAGCCUUCAAAGUUUCGCAAGAAUAUGCAGCUAAAGAUUGUGGCAAAGGUUGCCAAACGAAUUCACAAACAAGGGGCAUUAAUCCUCUGUUCUCAAUGUAACGAUACUUUGAAGGUACAAGCUGCUCGUGGAUUUGCUGUGUUCUUAUUGUCUUUUCCUGAAAAAGAAAUAUUUUUGUAAGAUGCCUCAUAUCUCGAAGAAAACAAAGAGGAACAACAUGUUGUUUUCAUUUCAAAUAUGCAAAACAUGCGGGCAUUAUCCGUGA